UUAACUAUUUUAUAGUACUCAGACAAUAUUUAUUACAGAGUUGUGGUCCUCUGGCGGGCACGAUCCAGCCGAAGCCGGUGCUUGCGCGGCCCACCAAAGCAACAAAUUAAGAUAAUCAAGGGUUAGAAGGACCGGUUUCCCGGCUUCAUUUUUAAUGAUCCUUCCGCAGGUUCACCUACGGAAA
rnacentral:misc_RNA from 1 species